UGAACUUUGAGGAGGCAUGCGCAUGGAGGGAUGCAUUAUUAUUCUAUUCUGACAAAAGAGAGCCCAUUGUACAGAGACAAAAACCUACAGAGGAAAUACUCGGCGUCUUUUCGGGACAUCGGGGAAAAACACGUUUAUCUCCACAGGUUUUGACGUGUUUUGAGCUUAAAUGAGGACGUACAAGAGAGUGUUACACAUAAGCUCCAUUGCUCGAUUUCGCUCCAGUGACUGUGCAGGCCUCAUGAAUGCAGUAACUCUAAGAAACUCUCAGGGCGGCUCAGUGUACUGUAUUCGGUGAAUCGAAAGAUAUUUACAAUCAUUGCUUUUCAUUUUAUAAUCUUCUGAAGAAAGCGUAAAUGUUGAUCAGGAAACAAAACAAUCUAUGAAAGGCGGUCUAUCCCGGGUGAUCCACGAAAAGGUACACAGGUUCAUGCGUUUCGUUUUUGUGCACAAUUGAUCUUAAUUAGACCAUUUAUGCACGGCCAGUCACAAACUGAGAUAUCUUACUGCUGAAAAUGUGACUGAGUAAAUCACUUAAAAUGUUAAAACAAUUACUACAGACAUUAACUUCUCGUUUUCUAUCUGUUCACGUGGACUCCUGGUUUCCUCGACGGGUAACAUGUUGCAAUUUGAUAACGUUUCAACUUGGU